rnacentral:rRNA from 1 species
UCAACGCGGGAAAUCUUACCGGGUCCGGACACACUGAGGAUUGACAGGCAAUAUUAAAUUAAAUAUUAAUUACUUCGGUUUUUAAUUAUUUAAUUUAUGUUAAAUAUGCUAGUCCUUUCAUGAUUAUGUGAUAGGUGGUGCAUGGCCGUUCUUAGUUCGUGGAGUGAUCUGUCUGCUUAAUUGCGUUUCACUAAGGGCUUAUAAAUUUACGUGUGUUGUAAGUACUUUGACCCCUACAUUGAAAUAUAUGUAGUGCGUGUCUUUGUUUGCUUUACUCACACAAUUAAGUCCUGAAAGCAACGAACGUGACCGCAACCUCUUGUUGCCUUUAUCCAAAACGGCGUUAUUUUAAAUUUAUUUAAGAUUAACGUUAAAAAGAGGCUUUUAAACUAGAGGGACCGCUGUAAUCUUUUUAAACCAGAGGAAGGUUGCGGCAAUAACAGGUCUG